UUGUCUAGGUCAAUUAAACUCAUUUCACUUGCGUCAACGAACACGGUUUCUACUCGGAAUGAAACUAUAACUGGCCAUUCUCCACAACAAGCAACAGAAGCUUUCACAAGGACUCCUUGGACCACAGACACACACCUCGCAUCACAGAGCCAGUACUCGAUCCAGCUUCUUCUCCAACUAGAAAUCAACCUAUUUCAGUACUUCCCGCUUCGUCGCCAACACUCAGUUACUCGUUGGUUCUCGUUUCGGGUGUGACUUAAUAUUUCGGUUCUGUCCUUGGCUUCCCCGAGUAGUGGUCGACGCUCUUCUGCUCUGGCUGGUAACGAAACUAUUUGACUUGACUGAAGCCUUGCAUCCUGUGCUGUUGCUUGUUUAUUAGUUGUUUGAGUUAGUGCUCAGAAAGCCAUUCAUUACGCAUAGAAAGAAUUCAAUAAACGAGUCAACUCACCUGACACGUCUCUCCUUUGCCGCCGAUUUCUGGCUCCGUGUGCCGUAGCCUUCCGGCGUCACCCGGCAACGGGCAGUUUCUCGCUGCCCAACAAAUGCCACUGUUUCUCCCAGCGGUCGAGUCGUUUGUCUAUACCGACGUCCUCCUUCCAAUCCGUAAGUCCAAGACCCACCGAC
rnacentral:lncRNA from 1 species